GCAAUGCGAUAAGUAAUGCGAAUUGCAGAAUUCCGUGAGUCAUCGAAUCUUUGAACGCACAUUGCGCCCUUUGGUAUUCCGAAGGGCAUGCCUGUCCGAGCGUCAUUAUCAACCCUCAAGCCCGGCUUGCUGCUGGGUCCCACCGUCGGCAACGGCGGUCGACCCGAAAGAUAAUGGCAGAGUCUGUGAGACCCUGGAUGCAGCGAGCUUCCUCAGCGCGCAUCGUAAGGGUCUCGGGGCGCUGUCUGAACCAAUUUUUAUCUGGUUGACCUCGGAUUAGGUAGGGAUACCCGCUGAACUUAA
rnacentral:misc_RNA from 1 species